UUUAGUUUUAGUUUAAGUUUUAGUUUAGGUUUAGUUAGUUUAGGUUUAGAAGAAGAAGAAGAAGGAGAAAGGAGAUGAAGAAGAAGGAGAAAGGAGAAGAAAAAAAUAAGAAGAAGAAGGAAAAGAGGAAGAAGGAAAAGAAGAAGAAGGAAAAGGAAGGGAAGGAGAAGAACCAAGAAGAAGAAGAAGAAGAAAAAUAGGAGAGGAAGAG
rnacentral:lncRNA from 1 species